CCUUUUAAAACACCACCACACUACAGAGGUGCGUGUGUGCAGCGUCCAACCAGCUUCUGUCUCUCUCUCUCUCUCUCUCUCUCUCUCUCUCUCCCCCCCUCCCCCACAGUAGUCCAGAGGCUCCAGUCUACUGGAGUGUGCGUUUUUGGGGGGCAGUUUUUUCGGCGAGUGUGUUUAAGGGGCCCGUCCUCUGCGUGGAUUGGCUAAUGCCUAGGAGCCCGGCCGGGCAAGAUUGCAUCCCUCUCCACGACACCAACCAAUCCCAGUCCCUCCUUUGACCUGCUGGGGGCCGGCCGAACACAGACUCCGCCCCAUGGGAUGAUGCAUGCAACUGGCGCCUGACCGGAGGGCGCACCUUAGCCCUCUGACCCCCCUCCCCCGGCGGCCAUCUUUUUUCUGCCCGUGCAAGACGAGACACCCUGGGGGAGACAGCGUUUACAGUUGAACUUGUGACAGUUUAUGAGUAUGAGUAAUGAAUAUAUUGUUAAUUAUGACUAGCUGUACCAGAAAAAUCACCAAAACACAACCAACCAAGCAUUUAUAUUUACUAUCUUAAAAAAAAAAAAAAAAAAGGGAGAAGGGGGGGGGGGGGGGGAGAGAUUGGCGGCAGCGGCAGCCGAACUGGGAUUUUAACCGUGCACCCGCAGCAGGGGGUCUCUAGUGGACCCCAGGGGCAGACGGCGCUGUGCUGGGUACCGGCAUUUUGAUGUGUAUAUGACGUAGGGAUGCUUUCCUCUAGGUAAGCAGUCCAGCUGGCAUGGGGGGGUGGGGGGGGUUGUUGUCAGACUGGAACGGAGUCAGCAGGAGAAACUAACCGGAAUGAAACGAGCAAGCUUGAUAUCAACGACAUGAAGCACCAAAGUGUAGAACUUUACGCUUUUUCUGUGUACUCAUGUGUGUUUUUCCGUGUGCCGUUCGUCGCCGUUCUGUCGAGGGGUGCUGACGUGGGGGUGGGGGUGGGAGGGGCGGGUGGCGGGGUGGGAGAUGGACGUGUGUUUUAUUGUGUUUUUAGCGUCCCCGUUGCGUUCCUCUUUAAAAACUAGCGUCUGCCUGAACUACUUUUUAAGCAAGCUUUCUGUUCCUUUCCGUUCUUUCGUUUUUUUUCCACACGGGGCUUUUAUCGUGCAAGUGUUGGAGCGGCCCGGUGCGCCGCGCUGUGAGCGAGGGCGUGCAUGUGUUGCGGCGCAAGGAGAGGCUGCGGCGGGUAUGGCGUCUGCGAUUUGCAUGUUUGACCGCGACCGUCUCCUUCACUCUCCCUCGCCCCCCACCCCUUCCCAUAUCCACCCUAAUCCCCGAACUCCUUGCCUUCUCCUCAACCUAACCCCAAACUCCUUGCCCCCAUGUCCUCCUCCCCCCAAACCUUUCCUCUUAACCCCCCCACCCCCCACGGCUGUCCCCCUCCUCUGCUUCUGGCUCUCAAGGGAACUGACGUCCUGUUCUGUUAUCACUGUGUAUAUGCAGUGUCUUCUGUAUAGAUAAAUGUAGAGAAAAGUGUAAUAUAUGUACAUGCAUCCAAGAGACUCUUGUCCUGUGCGUCGGCUGUGGGAUUUAGCCGAUGGUACCCUGCAAUGUCCCCAUCCCCCCCUCCUCCCCAUUGUUCGUUAAACAAAAGUAAACAAAACAAACAGCCGCAACUGUUUGUAACACGUGGUCGAUCAGGAGCUUUCUGAUGCGCUCCAACGCUCUCUUCCUCGGUAAACCGGACUUGAGAUUCCGGCAAUUUACGAUUGAUUUAAAGUACUUGGGGGUACUUUCCCAGACUUAACUUCACCCAGAGUCCCUUACGGACGUCUGCACUUAGGCCGCACAAACAUAAACGCACGCACAUAUAUACAGACAAACACACACACACGCGCACAAGUUGCCACGUCUUGUCCCAUGGCCACUUCACUGUGUUCGGAGGAUGUGAUCAUUUGACUUUUAAAGGGAAAACUGGUGUACCCACGUGCUGUUUGACCAGCCGAGUGGAAACCUCUGUCGUUGCUUCCCCAGCCCCCCUCCCCAAAAAUAUAUUGUAUUUUAUGAGUCGUUCACAAAAGGCACACACACACACGUGCAUACCUGUCUAUACCAAACGCACGUGGGGAGGGGAACUGUUGCCUAUCCGCACCAGAGCUCGGUGUGUGCGCGACAGCGAGGUCGUUCUGUGCUAAUCCAACGUGUCCGUUCCUCCGUCCGUCGUGAGUCUCGACCAGCCCCCACUCCCAUCGGUCCUCUGAUGUCCCCCGACCCUGUUGCUCUCGUAGUGCUUCGUUGGUCUGUAGCUCCUCUUGUCGUUUUCACUCGUUGCUGGAUUGUCGUUUUCUCUGUUCCGUUUCUCUGUCUUUUGUUUUCGUCGUCGUCGUCGCCGUUGAACUUGUCUCUUUUGCAGUUUUUUUGUAAUAUAACGCUCUGCCAAGCUAGAGUUCUGCACUCUCCCUCAGACCGAUACACACACACACACACAAAAACCCGCACCCACAACCGCACACACACAAACACACACACAAACCUGCACUUAAGCACCCGCACAAAAUAAAAGGGAGUUUGGAUCGAGGUUAACAAUUAUGAUCAGAGAUGAAUUAAGGCUCAGUUAAAUGUUUCUGUUGUCGACCCCGGGAGUUUUUUGAGAAUUCUGCCUGCUCAGUAGAGGGAGAGGGAGAGUGCGAGAACGAGGAAGAGAGAGAGAGAGAGAGGGGUGCUGGUUUCAAAACCCGGCACCACCAGACCGGGAGACCUAGUUAUAUGCAUGUUUCAGUUAAGCAUUUCCGCCAUGUUCCUGCCUUAUUAAAAAGGACAGGGGAUGGCGUUUCUAAUAUAUAACGAUAUUUGCAUCUUUGAAACGAGAGCCGCCUCCAUCCAGAAUGUUGAAAUAAUAGGUGACAUGAAAAAUAAAAAAAUAAAAUACGUUUAAAAAAUCUAUAUAUCAACUAAAGGAUUGAGGAGCCGUAGCUUGGUUUGAGGCCCUUGAUGUUAGUAUUUUUUCCCUGCGUUGUAAUGAUAUACUAUUGGGCUGCGCUUCCGUCCCCAGCCGCCUCCAUGUGGAUGCUGGUGUUUUUUUGCAUGAUCAUGUUGUACACUGAAAUACAACCAUGAAUUGACAACUAUCAAGUGUUUGUCUGAGUGUUAGUUGGUCUUCAUCAUAGCUUUGUUAUUCUUCAAAAACUUGGAUCUUGAAAGUAUUUAAUAAAAAUACUAUUUCAGCACUGGGCUGUUCUCUCGUUUUGUGGUUUGUUC
ensembl:lncRNA